rnacentral:rRNA from 1 species
GUCUAGUUAGCAUUAUACCGCGAAACUGCGAAUGGCUCAUUAUAUAAGUUAUCGUUUAUUUGAUAAUACUUUACUACUUGGAUAACCGUGGUAAUUCUAGAGCUAAUACAUGCUGAAAAUCCCGACUUCGGAAGGGAUGUAUUUAUUAGAUUAAAAACCAAUGCCCCUCGGGGCUCUCUGGUGAAUCAUGAUAACUAGUCGAAUCGACAGGCCUUGUGCCGGCGAUGGCUCAUUCAAAUUUCUUCCCUAUCAACUUUCGAUGUUUGGGUAUUGGCCAAACAUGGUGGCAACGGGUAACGGAGGGUUAGGGCUCGACCCCGGAGAAGGAGCCUGAGAAACGGCUACUACAUCCAAGGAAGGCAGCAGGCGCGCAAAUUACCCAAUCCCGACACGGGGAGGUAGUGACAAUAAAUACUGAUACAGGGCUCUUUUGGGUCUUGUAAUCGGAAUGAGUACAAUUUAAAUCCCUUAACGAGGAACAAUUGGAGGGCAAGUCUGGUGCCAGCAGCCGCGGUAAUUCCAGCUCCAAUAGCGUAUAUUAAAGUUGUUGUGGUUAAAAAGCUCGUAGUUGAACCUUGGGCCUGGCUGGCCGGUCCGCCUCACCGCGUGCACUGGUCCGGCCGGGCCUUUCCCUCUGCGGAACCCCAUGCCCUUCACUGGGUGUGGCGGGGAAACAGGACUUUUACUUUGAAAAAAUUAGAGUGCUCAAGGCAGGCCUAUGCUCGAAUACAUUAGCAUGGAAUAAUAGAAUAGGACGUGUGGUUCUAUUUUGUUGGUUUCUAGGACCGCCGUAAUGAUUAAUAGGGACAGUCGGGGGCAUCAGUAUUCAAUUGUCAGAGGUGAAAUUCUUGGAUUUAUUGAAGACUAACUACUGCGAAAGCAUUUGCCAAGGAUGUUUUCAUUAAUCAGGAACGAAAGUUAGGGGAUCGAAGACGAUCAGAUACCGUCGUAGUCUUAACCAUAAACUAUGCCGACUAGGGAUCGGACGAUGUUACAUUUUUGACGCGUUCGGCACCUUACGAGAAAUCAAAGUGC